CCUACGGGUGGCAGCAGUGGGGGAUAUUGCACAAUGGGGGAACCCUUAUGCAGCGACGCCGCGUGGGUGAAGAAGCGCCUCGGCGCGUAAAGCCCUGUCAGCAGGGAAGAAAAUGACGGUACCUGAAGAAGAAGCCCCGGCUAACUACGUGCCAGCAGCCGCGGGAAUACGUAGGGGGCAAGCGUUAGCCGGAUGUACUGGGUGUAAAGGGGGCGCAGAUGGAGAUGCAAGCCAGGAGUGAAAGCCCGGGGCCCAACCCCGUGACUGCUCUUGGAAACGCGUGGCUAGAGUGCAGGAGGGGAAGGCGGAAUUCCUGGUGUAGCGGUGAAAUGCGUAGAUAUCAGGAGGAACACCGGUGGCGAAGGCGGCCUGCUGGACUGCAACUGACGUUGAGGCCCGAAAGCGUGGGGAGCAAACAGGAUUAGAUACCCCAGUAGUC
rnacentral:rRNA from 1 species